rnacentral:rRNA from 1 species
UACGGGGGGGGCAAGCGUUGUUCGGAAUUACUGGGCGUAAAGGGCUCGUAGGCGGCCAACUAAGUCGGACGUGAAAUCCCUCGGCUUAACCGGGGAACUGCGUCCGAUACUGGAUGGCUUGAGGACGGGAGAGGAGAGUGGAAUUCCCAGUGUAGAGGUGAAAUUCGUAGAUAUUGGGAAGAACACCAAUGGCGAAGGCAGCUCUCUGGACCGUUACUGACGCUGAGGCGCGAAAGCGUGGGGAGCAAACAGG